GAUAAAGACCCUUGUGCCGUAAUUGGUGGGCUUUGCCCUUGGCUGUGUAGGUUGUGUUGUUGAGUGGAAAUAUGCUUUUGGGGUGGAAGAUGAAAACAGUCAAAAAUCCAGGCUAUGACCAUGGCCCAACUGAGAUAUACUGACUGCAAAUGACUUCAGGUAGAACAGUUUCUGUUGCACAGCUUCUGACCCUUGGUCAAUUGAAAACCAAAGGAUGUAGCACAGAGCCUCUGAGCUGCCUUCAUUGCCUACAGCUGGGUCAAGGAUGACUCUUGAUGUCUGAAAGAGGAAGAAUUUCCUGAAUUUGAUCACUGCUCUCAUCCUCUCCCUGCAGACACCUGUGAAUAUCUGCUCCAGGGAGAAAAGAGGUUCUUCACCUCAUAUAACACCAUUUUUAUGCUUAUUACUAUUGAUGCGAUUGAACCUCUGCCACAGUCUGAUUUUGGAUGCCUGUGCCCAUGGAGACUGGAGAACAUCAGCUAUUCAUAGAGAGAGCAGAACCAGAAUUACCUAUGGCUGCAGAGGGGGUCUGGGACGUGGUGGCUGAGGAGAGCACAGUGUGCUUAACCUGCUCGCUGGGCUGGGAUUGCAGAAUGGUUUCUGCUGAAGGCGUAUGCAGAACUUGGGGCCAUAUCCCACCUGCAAACUGGGCAGUCAUCGCAGUGAGGACCACACGUUUUUGUGCCCAAACACCAAAUAGGAGAUGACUACAUGGGGAAAGUCAAGCCCAAACCUCUUCCUGAGAAGCUGGAUUUGGCUAAUCACCAGGGUGAGCUGGGAUGGGCCUUGGACCAUGGCUUUCUUGGAGCACGACAAGCCCACACCAAAUGUCAGCGUUGGUCCACGGUGGGACUGGAAUUUUGUAGUGUGUUGGAAAUCCAAUUGCUCUUUUUGAGAGCUUAGGCUCCCCAAAAGCUGCCGUACCUGAGCUAAGUGUCUAGCACAGGUCAGGGCCUUGGCCAUGAAGUCCUCCUCUCCCCAGGGAGCACAUCUCCUCUUGGCACACUCAGUGGACGCAGUGCCAGCUUGGGAUGGGCUGACGGAUCCUCGAGUGCUUGCGUGCACUGGGCGGAAUAAUGGGACGCAGUUAUGAGUGUGUGCAGGGCGCAGGGAGGUGCUGCUGUUCAUUAACCUCUUUUCAGUGCAGAGCUGCACUUGAAGUCAUCUUCCUUGCUUGCAUCUCCCCUGGGAGGACAAGCUCCCAAGCGGCACGGAGUGACUUCAGCUGGGGCACGAACCCGCGGCUCCUGGAACCACCUCGGCUGUGCCAACCAGACAGAGCUCCAGGACACAGCGUGCUGCGGGGAGCCACGGUGCUGUCAGGGUUCAAAGGCUGAUGAGCCAUCCUUCCUCUAAGGAAACGCACUGCAACCUUUGGGGCCACCAUUUACACCAACCUCCUGGCUUUCCGAUGGCUCUGGUUCAUUUUCAUCUCCUCUGAAUAUCUCCAUCUGCUCUCAGAGGUGCUGAACCGUGCUGCGAGUGUGGGAUGAAAUGCAAAGGAAAAGGGGAAAAAAAAUGAUUCCUGUCAGGUAGAUGAAAACUCAGUUUCCCCCCUUCUCCUUCCUGCCUCCUGGAGAACACACCGUAUGUGGAAGGUGACCUUUUGUCUCCUGCCUCUCCGCCCGAGCUGAGAGCGAUUCGGCUGACACAUCCGAUGACAGAUAGAUACCAGCAUGAGCAAAUUGCGCUUGAACUUGCUCCAGAGAAAAUUGUUACAAGGCGCGGGCACAGGCUGGGCUGCAUUAGGGAGAGCACAGAUCACAGUCAAAUGUUUGUGUCAUUUGCAAACGCCACUGCGAGGGGAUGUGGGGGGGUGAACAGAUGAACGUUUUGAGCUCUAAAGGUUACUGUAGAGAAUAUGAAAUGGGGCUCUGUGUUGGACUUUUGAAGAGUAUUCUCAAUGUGGGGAAAGUUCAGGUGAAAUCAGGUUAAUCCCUACCACCUGGAGUUUUUUCUUUCAACUUCUGUUUUUUUUCUUUUUUCCUUUUUUUUUUUUUUUUUUUUUUUUUUCAUUUUAAAGUUGAUUUCAUGUUGGUACACCCCCACUGCAGAAGUUCCUGAAAUCUUGAUGUUCAAAGUAAAACUUUGGUUGAUAUGUAUGCUGUCUUGCUGGUAUGAGUAGAAGCCAAUGGGAAUAGAUUAAAAAACAAAACCAAAAAGAAUCUGUUUAUGACAAUAAAACUCUGAUCACAAAUCUCAGAUGCAAA